AUUAUGGAGAGUUUGAUCCUGGCUCAGGACUAACGCUGGCGGCGUGCCUAACACAUGCAAGUCGAACGGGGUAGCAAUACCCAGUGGCAGACGGGUGAGUAACACGUGGUCAA
rnacentral:rRNA from 1 species